UACGGGGGGGGCAAGCGUUGUUCGGAAUUACUGGGCGUAAAGGGCUCGUAGGUGGCCAACUAAGUCGGACGUGAAAUCCCUCGGCUUAACCGGGGAACUGCGUCCGAUACUGGUUGGCUUGAGUUUGGGAGAGGGAUGCGGAAUUCCAGGUGUAGCGGUGAAAUGCGUAGAUAUCUGGAGGAACACCGGUGGCGAAGGCGGCAUCCUGGACCAAUACUGACGCUGAGGCGCGAAAGCUAGGGGAGCAAACGGG
rnacentral:rRNA from 1 species